ensembl:lncRNA
AUGCUGAAUUCAAAGUGCAGGGAGGCAUUUGGGAUUUGUGUUCCUGGCAACUUGAGAGAGGAAUGGAGGAAGUCAAAGGGAGGAAGAGGAGCUGAUGUUGCAGUCCAAGAGGAAACAGGAGUGAGGGCAGGGAGCCCAGAAGAGGGUCAGGGUGAAGAUGGGUGUGGGGAAGGCAGAGCAAACCAGCUGCUGCUGUCAACCCGGACCUGUUUCCUCAAGCUCUGGGAGCCCUCCCAUCCCUGCUCUCAGCAACAGUGAUGCUGCCUUCGGGCGGCUGUGCAGCCAACCCACACUGAGUGAUAGCUGUCCCUGUCAUUUUCUUAAAUGUCACCAGUGAAAGAGACAUUUCCACCUCCCUGGAGUACACAUACUCCACGUGUGGAUAAGUGGACACUUGGUUCCAUUUUCACAGCUUCCAAAAAUUGGUCACAGAUGACUCACAAUUGUGUCAACUACCCUGGUAUAAGAAGCCAUAGAUGGAGGUAUACAGAAAUGAUUUUUUUUUUUAAAUGUAAUGUCCUUUCUAUGAGGCAGUAAAACAUCUUUCCUGCCAUUAGGAGAAAUGUGUUCUUUGAAUUAUUUUCACAGCCAUAAAGGCAGACCUGUGAAAGGCUAUUUGUACUGGAUAGUUCUCUGCUUUCAUGGAUUUUAUUCAGAAUUGUCCAUUCUUGGAAAUGUUGGGGAAAGAGAAGAGAAAAAGAGAACAAAUAUAUGUUGAAUUAGUUAGUGUAAAUUAUAAUUCAUAAGCUGCAGUGUCCAAGCAAUAUUACCUUCCACAUAUUCUUGAAUAGCUUGGUUCCUAUUUUUGAGCCCCUGCCUGGUGCCAGGAACUUGUUUUCAGCUAAUUCAGGGUUUCUGCCCCCAUUUUCCUUGGAGGAAUAGCUAAGUUCUUUGGGGAUAUUGCUGGUGUCAAGCAUGAAGCUGUUGGAGGACAGGGAGGCUUUGGCAUCUGGUCCUCAGCAUCACGUAAAUCCUAUCAGAACUUAGAGGUGAAAUGGGAAGGAUUGUUGAUCUCCUGCCCCACCAGCUGCUGGGAUGUCCCUUACUCCCAUUCACAAGGUCUGUUUGUGUCACUCUAGGUCAUUUUGCUCUCCUGAGCCCGUCUGGGAACCACUUUGAAGCUGUUUGAGUCCAGAGCCAUGGCCCAGGCCUCUCGUGGUAUGCGAUCCUGCUGUGUUCCCUCAGCUGGAUCAGGGGCACUGGGCAGCGCCUUCCCCUCUCCUGGCCUAUUCUCAGGCACACCUAAGUGAUCUUAUUUCAUCUUGACCCUAACCUUGGAUAUUUGAAGUAGAAUUAUUCAUUUACAAAGGAGGAAAAUGAGAUUCAGAGAAGCUAAAUACAUGCCAAAGCCACGUAACUGCAAGUGGCAGAGCUCAGUUUGCUUUCCAAACUCAUGCGGCUCCCUUCAUCACUGUGACUCACCCACUUUAUCCCCCAACUUCAAGGAAGUCUCCUCUGAUCACCCAAGAAUAAUGUCUGCCUCCUUAGAAAUUUUGUGGCGGGCCGGGCGCGGUGGCUCAAGCCUGUAAUCCCAGCACUUUGGGAGGCCGAGACGGGUGGAUCACGAGGUCAGGAGAACGAGACCAUCCUGGCUAACAUGGUGAAACCCCGUCUCUACUAAAAAAUAACAAAAAACUAGCCGGGCGAUGUGGCGGACGCCUGUAGUCCCAGCUACUCGGGAGGCUGAGGCAGGAGAAUGGCGUGAACCCGGGAGGCGAAGCUUGCAGUGAGCUGAGAUCCGGCCACUGCACUCCAGCCUGGGCGACAGAGCAAGACUCCGUCUCAAAAAAAAAAAAAAAAAAAAAAGAAAUUUUGUGGCCAUUGCUGUUUCAAUUUUGGGAGUGACAUCUAAUUGUCACACAAUGUUUCACACGCUAGCUAUCUGUGCUCAUAUCUAGACAAGCCUGCUUAGGUGGUGGCUCCUGGAAAGCAAAGACCACUUCUUGUGUUUGUCUCUAUCCCGUCUACUAGCACCACACUCUGUACAUGGUAAAUGUGUAAUAUGUAAUUGAUUAUAAUAAAAAUAUGUGUUAAAAAUUAGUAAAUGGAUGAGCACAUUCUCUCUAUAAGAAUGUGUUCUAUUUGUGUGGUUACACUGCAGUUAUAGGCUAGUUAACAAUGCAUGACCUAUGGAUGUCUGCCCUUGUUCUUGCUUUUUAGUUCCAUAGUCCUUAAUCCACACUGUACUUUGAAGGGCAUAUAGGUCCAGCAGUGAUGUGGCUUUAUCUCAUGCCUACUCUCCUGUUCUACUUAUAGAAUCUGCUGUCCACUGACUUUUUAAUUUCUCAAUUUUCUGACUCCAUGCCCAGGCUCCAGAUAUAGGCCUCUAUGCUCUUCUUUUUAAAGACAAGUCAUUUGGACCCUUACUUGCAGCCUUUCUUGCCCUGUGGUAAGAUUGAAUCUCAACUCGGCAUGCUCCCUCAGUUUCCAGGGCACCUGGGAUUCUGGAAACAGACAGGGUCUGUGCCCACAUCAGCCUGGUGAUAUUCUCACUGGCUGGGAGUAUACUUGCCAGUGCCCUCAUCUUCCCACAGGACAGAAGGAUUAUUAUAUGGUGAACAUAUGGAGUGUUCCCAGCGUGCCUCUUAAAAAAUCCCAAUAACUGGUUCAAUGGUACAGCAUAGAAAUGCCUAAUUGAAUUUUUAAAAAUAGUUUAGAUUAAAAUCUAUUUAGAAAAGAGGGAAAUGAUAUAUUUUCUUAUAUAUGCUAUGGCAAAGUUUAAUAUCCAAGGAUAAUCCCUAUAGAAUUGUUAGAUCUAU